AAUGCACCCAGGCAAAGAUUCU
rnacentral:miRNA from 1 species